CCUACGGGAGGCUGCAGUAAGGAAUAUUGGUCAAUGGACGCAAGUCUGAACCAGCCAUGCCGCGUGGAGGAUUAAGGCCCUCUGGGUUGUAAACUCCUUUUAUCUGGGAAGAACUCCACGUUUUCUAAUGUGGUUGACGGUACCAGAGGAAUAAGCACCGGCUAACUCCGUGCCAGCAGCCGCGGUAAUACGGAGGGUGCAAGCGUUAUCCGGAUUCACUGGGUUUAAAGGGUGCGUAGGCGGGCAGGUAAGUCCGUGGUGAAAUCUCUGAGCUUAACUCAGAAACUGCCAUGGAUACUAUUUGUCUUGAAUAUUGUGGAGGUAAGCGGAAUAUGUCAUGUAGCGGUGAAAUGCUUAGAUAUGACAUAGAACACCAAUUGCGAAGGCAGCUUACUACACAGUUAUUGACGCUGAGGCACGAAAGCGUGGGGAUCAAACAGGAUUAAAUACCCCAGUAGUC
rnacentral:misc_RNA from 1 species